UUAGGCAAAGGAAAAGCUUGAUGAAGACACGGGUUAUUCUACAGUUGGUCCCGCAUUCACCAGCCAACAGGUCUCAUCUUGAGGAGCAGAGCCGGCGGGCAGAACAUAGCCGUGGCCGGGGCAAGCUGUCUGAUGGAAGAGAAUCCUUUCAAUAUUAGACACAAUGCUGGGAAUGUUAUGGGGCUACUACAGACAGUAUCCUGUACAUCUAAUGAGCUGGUUCUGGAUUGAUGUUUAAUGCUGGGUCUGGAUUUUAAUUCAUUAAAGUUUUAAAUUUCUAUAGUUUGUUUUAUCUUGCGUAUAUAGCGUCUGUAGUGUAGAGUGGGAUAG